AAUAACUAACAGUACGUGAGAGAUAUACCGAUAGGCAUCAGCGAAAAUCUGAAGAUUUAAUCUGAUAGAAAAUGUCGAAACAAAAGUUAUUUUUAUUGUUAAUUAUAUCAGUGGCUCUCCUUGCUACUAAAACAUGGGCUGAGGAAUCUUCAGAAGAAGGAGGAAAAGAAGGAGAAAAAACUGGUGGCUGUCUUCCACGGAACGAAGAUUGCGAGGAGGAAGAAGAAUGUUGCGACGGCCUAAUGUGCAAAAAUUGGUUAAUUGGUAAGUGGUGUGAUAUUGACGAUAGGGUUGACGAUGAAUCUGAAGAAAUUAAACCUGAAGAAUCUGAACCUGAAAAUUAGAAUCCUGAGUCUGAUGGAUGCCAAUAACUUGUUGGAAAAAAUAUUUCUAACAGAAGACCAAUGAAAAAUUUUUAACUUUUUCGAGUUUUAAAAUUAUUAACAUCGAAUAUUAUUUUUUAAAAUUCAUUAUGAAAAUUGAGUAAUAAAUAUUUUGACAAUUUUCUUAUUUAUUUUAUUUUUUUCGACUUG